rnacentral:lncRNA from 1 species
GCGACACCAGAGUAGUACUACUCCCAGGAGCAUUUAUAAUCGUCUCAUCAAUCACCAGGUUACCUUCACAAGAGAUAACAAUUAACUGCUGAUAUUUAUUAGACCAACUGUAGCGUCGCCCCCAUUAGGUAAUUUUUAUUCCGAUUCGUUUUUUGCACAAACUUACUAAAAAAGAGGUAAAAA